UAACGCGAAGAACCUUACCUACUCUUGACAUCCAGAGAACUUAGCAGAGAUGGAUUGGUUCCUUCGGGAACUAUGAGACAGGUGGUGCAUGGCUGUCGUCAGCUCGUGUUGUGAAAUGUUGGGUUAAGUCCCGCAACGAGCGCAACCCUUAUCCUUUGUUGCCAGCGGUCCGGCCGGGAACUCAAAGGAGACUGCCAGUGAUAAACUGGAGGAAGGUGGGGAUGACGUCAAGUCAUCAUGGCCCUUACGAGUAGGGCUACACACGUGCUACAAUGGCGCAUACAAAGAGAAGCGAACUCGCGAGAGCAAGCGGACCUCAUAAAGUGCGUCGUAGUCCGGAUUGGAGUCUGCAACUCGACUCCAUGAAGUCGGAAUCGCUAGUAAUCGUAGAUCAGCAACCCAAAAGGAC
rnacentral:rRNA from 1 species